rnacentral:rRNA from 1 species
UGAGGAAUAUUGGUCAAUGGAGGAAACUCUGAACCAGCCAAGUCGCGUGAAGGAUGACGGUCCUAUGGAUUGUAAACUUCUUUAGUAGGUGAGUAAGGAUAGGUACGUGUACCUAUUAGAAAGUAGCCUAAGAAUAAGUAUCGGCUAACUCCGUGCCAGCAGCCGCGGUAAUACGUAGGUCCCGAGCGUUGUCCGGAUUUAUUGGGCGUAAAGCGAGCGCAGGCGGUUAGAAAAGUCUGAAGUGAAAGGCAGUGGCUCAACCAUUGUAGGCUUUGGAAACUGUUUAACUUGAGUGCAGAAGGGGAGAGUGGAAUUCCAUGUGUAGCGGUGAAAUGCGUAGAUAUAUGGAGGAACACCGGUGGCGAAAGCGGCUCUCUGGUCUGUAACUGACGCUGAGGCUCGAAAGCGUGGGGAGCGAACAGG